rnacentral:lncRNA from 1 species
CUCUGGUUUGGUGACCUGAUUGAUAGUAGAAUUUUCAUUGAAAAUGAGCAAGACAUUUAUAUACGGAUGGCUGCAUCAGAACAAGGUAUGAAUUUAUCCUCAGACUAGAAAAGGCAGUAUCUAUUACUUAUCGAUUAUAGGAACUUGUAGUAUGUUAUAAAUUAAGAUUAUCUUCCAAAAUCAUGUUUAAAUAUUAAGCUAAGCAAAAGCUAAGAUGGGAAAUCAACUGCUUGAGAAGAAUAUGUCCCGCUGAGAGUGUUCUGUAAACAAGUAUACUUGUGUUACCCUGUGUAAAUAGCAUGAUAACUUAGCAUUCAUAGCUCAUUAUCGAAUUUGCAUAGAAGAUCUUGAAAUAUAAUAAAAUCAACGCCUAGACAUAUCACUUGGUAAUAUGAUGGAGGAUUACCUGACCAGAGCUAAUGUAAAUUUUCCAGCCAUGCUACCUAAUUAACGAAGACUAGGCCUUUUUUUGGCAUUUAAUUAGUCUUUUGAUUCCCCAUCUCUCUGCGAUUCUGUAGAUGAUGGUGAUGCUGCAAAGGUUAAUGCUAAAUCCAAUGUGAAGAGAAGGAUCAUGGUAAGCACUGCGUUGUCUACAGGAGUUCUGGUACUUAUCGUAGCAGUGGUCUUGUAUGUUUGGAAAAGGAAGCAGCAGAAAAACAGUAAGUUAUUCACACCAUAUGAAAGUCUAAGUUCUUCUAUCCCUCUCCUUCAAUUUCGAAAAACACAUUUUAGUUCGUUUUCCAAUUUGAUUUUAGCAAGCUAUGGUACAUCCACAAAAUAUUAAGAGCUCAUUAUCUUUUACGUCUUAAGUAAAUUUGAGUUUAACAGAAAUUAGUGAUCCCUUGUUUCUUUUCUAUUUCUACCAAUUCUGCUUGCAGGAAACAUAUCAGGUGGUUUGGGAAGAAGUUCAAAUUACAAGCACAAGAAAGAAGCUCUGGAAUUACCGGUGUUUGAUUUUGAUACCAUGGCUUUUGCAACCAGAAACUUUUCAGACGAAAAUAAACUGGGAGAAGGGGGCUUUGGACUUGUUUAUAAGGUACUAAUCUGAAAAAUGGCAAUGCUGUUUUUCGGCAUUAACUAGUUCUCCGGUAUUAAUUUCUUUGGAAAUAUUCAACCACUGGAUAGACCAUUUUUCAAGUGCAAAACAACAACCAUUUGGCAACUGUUCCAACAGACCACAGUAGUAUUCUCAAAAUUUUCAAGACAAUGUACGACCUAAUUUGCUUGUGAUAUUCACUGAUCAUUUUCAGGGGACUUUGAAAGAUGGACGAGAAAUGGCUGUGAAGAGGCUCUCUAAGAAUUCAAGACAAGGACUUGACGAGUUCAAAAAUGAAGUCAAGAAUAUUGUGAAGCUUCAGCACCGGAAUCUCGUGAAGCUUCUAGGAUGUUGCAUUGAAGGAGAGGAAAAGAUGUUGAUCUACGAGUUUUUGCCUAACAAAAGCUUGGACUUCUUUAUUUUCGGUUAGGAUUUCUCAACCUGCAAAAAUAUAGCUCAAUUAUUAUACUCGAUUGUUUUCAUUAUCCAAACACCAGAACCAACUCUAUGUAGUAUUAUAGAUCAAUUAGAACACAACUUUGAGGAGAAAGUGCGAACCAAAAGCACCAAAAACAAACAUUUGUUGAGUUUCAUUCAAGCCCCUUAGGAAAAUGGCUUGGUGAGGAAGAAUUUUCUCCACUUUCUCGGAGAGAAAUUAAGCGAGUGUUCAUUAUGCAUCAUGUUUUUUUCUUAUUCUUGUAUAUACAUUUAUGAAUUGAUAAAAACCAGAAUGGAUUGGCUUUGGUAAAAACAAUUGGGCAGAUGAAGCAAAAAGCUUACUUCUAGAUUGGCCUCAGCGCUGCCACAUUAUCAAUGGGAUUGCUUGUGGACUCCUUUACCUUCAUCAAGAUUCAAGAUUAAGAGUAAUUCAUAGAGAUCUGAAAGCCAGCAAUGUUUUAUUAGAUAACGAGAUGAAUCCAAAAAUUUCAGACUUUGGCCUGGCUAGAUGUUUUGGAGGAAAUGAAACUGAAGCCAACACAAACAAAGUGGCUGGUACAUAGUAAGUCUAUCAAGCAUCUCUAAUUUAUUUCUAUUGCCCACAAAUGCAAUCUAACACUAACAUUCUGUGUACGUACAGUGGCUACAUAUCCCCAGAGUACGCAAAUUAUGGACUCUACUCGCUAAAAUCUGAUGUCUUCAGCUUUGGUGUAUUGGUGCUAGAGAUAGUAAGUGGGUACAGGAACAGAGGAUUCUGCCACCCAGACCACCAACUCAACCUUCUUGGGCAUGUAAGUGUCAUAAUUGUUGCAUUUUCUUGUUUUCUGAAACCACAUUUCUUUGUUUCAAAUGACGUGGUUAAAUUUCAAAAAUCAGGCUUGGAGACUGUUUAAAGAAGGCAGGCAUGUGGAGCUGGUUGGGGGAUUAAUAUUUGAAACUUGCAAAUUAUCUGAAGUUCUACGGUCGAUUCACAUAGGUCUAUUAUGUGUGCAAGAAAAUGCAAAAGAUAGGCCGAACAUGUCACAGGUGGUUUUGAUGCUGGGUAAUGAAGAUGAAUUGCCUCAGCCUAAACAUCCAGGUUUUUUUACUGGAAGGGAUCUUAUUGAAGCAAGCCAUUCAUUAAGUCAGAACAAACCAUGUUCUGCAAACGGAUGCUCGGUCUCCCUGUUAGAGGCACGGUAGAUUUGUAUCUGCCAUGUAUUUGCAGAAACUUUUAGUUGCUUCUAGCUUCUUCUUCUUUUUAUCAGCAUAAAAAUAAUGUACUUUGUUCAAGCACAACUUUAUGCAUCAGCAAUGAAGCUCAAAAUUGUCAGACAUUUGGAUUAAGUGCACAGGAAAGUAAUUGAAGAAAGAGCAAAAAAAUUAUAAUACUCCUACUAGCGUACUAGGCAUGUACGUUAACAUCUAGAAAGCAAGGAGGGAGAUCUCAAAUGGAGUAAAAAACCAAAAAUUAUGCUUGCAUAUAUCUAAAGAGAAAAAUCACAUGCCACCACUGGAAAUGACAACAAUAAGAGGCAAACACAAAUUUCAAGAAUUGGAGCUUGAAGGUAUUUACCUUUAUAGUGGCACAUUUGUAGUCUGUAGAGUUAGCUUCAAUUCCUUUCUGGGUUCGCAUUAAGGAGCGUGUGUGCUGUGCCCAUUUGAGAGGCUAAAAUGGAUGCCUUGGUACUUAGUAUUUGCAUUGCAAAAUCUCUGCACGCCGUGACACCGUUUCUCGUUGAGGAUUUUCGUCGAACACUUGCUGAAUCAAAAUAGUGAUCAGACGCUUUCAAUGGGUUGGGUGGACAAAAUGUUAAGACCAAGAACAAGGUCCAAAAGGCAAGUAUAAGCGCUUAACGAGUGGUGCAAGACCUGGAAAGAGCCUGCAGUGAGAGGUUAGCAAUUGCAUCAUUAAAAAUUCAUCGAAUGGGUUUGUAGUGUCUGUUACCGAUGAGGUUUUUAAUUUGCCAUGCUGUUUUUCUUAUAUACAAUAACUAAUAAAUAGAACCAUGUAUUAUUAUUUUUUCUAUCAUUUGAUGAACUUAAAUAUCAAAUAGAAAUACAUAUUUACUCAUUUAAACAUACUUAUUCAAAAUAAUUAAUUUUAAACUAGAAUUAUUCAUUAAAUUUAUUUCAAAA